GUGACACCUGGUCUCAAACACUACUACCCCUCCCCAUCCCCAAACAAUUAAACAAAACUAAGUACACAUAUUUUGGGAGGAAAAUCACUAUUAAGGACCAUUUCUUUGGCUGAAGUAGGGGUUUGAAAACUGUCUUUUAAAAGCCGGAAUAGACCCCAGGAAGUGAGUGGGAGUGUAGUGUUUGACAUAUAGCUGAAAUAGCCCAGGUGCCUCCCAUUUGCCAACUUGAAGCUAGAAAUUAAAGAAGCAUGGAUGAUGCAGUUCACAGAGGUUAGCCUCUGGGAUGUGGAGCAGAAAGGAGCAGGGAAUGGAUUUAGAGGGCAACAGAGAUUAACCAGCAUGUCACAUGUUAUGGGUUGAGUUGGAUCCCCCCCAGA
rnacentral:lncRNA from 1 species